CAAUUUGUAAGUGAAGAAUCAUGGCACAUUAAGUGUCCAUGCCUUUGUGCUUUCUUCUCAAGUUCUUUGUUCAUAUAACAAAGAAACAAGCACUAGUGUUUGCAUUGACUAAGGGUUGUUCAAGGCAACUCUUAUUUCUUCAUAUAACAAUUUGUAAGUGAAGAAUCAUGGCACAUUAAGUGUCCAUGCCUUUGUGCUUUCUUCUCAAGUUCUUUGUUCAUAUAACAAAGAAACAAGCACUAGUGUUUGCAUUGACUAAGGGUUGUUCAAAGCAAUUCUUAUUUCUUCAUACAACAAUUUGUAAUUGAAGAAUAAUGACAUUAAAAGUGUUGUCCUCUUUAUGAUAGACCUUUUCUAACAUAUUCUUCUAAUGAUACAUUAUCAAUAGGAAGAUUGUGAGGAUGAGACUACUUAGGUACAUUUACAAGCCAUUAAAGACAAUCUAUGGUUUUAUAGUACCAAGUCCGGAAACUAAACUUUCGGCUUUAUUUGUCAAGUGUUGGAUAGCGUUUGCAA
rnacentral:lncRNA from 1 species